AGUUCUAUAACGUUUCUACCUGACUGGGAGCCUUGUCCAGCCCCUCACGUGUACACAACAACAGCUGCUGAGAUGGUAUAACAAAACUUGGGGAAAUUGAACUGCUUCAUAACAGCUGAAAAUGAUAACUGGAGCAUGGAACAAGAGCUGUCACCAGCACUAUCACCACAGCACCACCACCUAUGGCAAGAUGAGUAACGACUAAGCCCUUGAGAAAUUAACAACUGGAUCAUGGAGACACUGCUGUUACAGGUAUGUAACAGACAUAGUCUGUCUGUCUGUGUUUUUCUAUAUGCUGUAUCUUUCUAUAUCUCAAUUUUUCUAGGUAUGUCUAACUGUCUAUCUUUAUGUAUCUGCAUCUCUAUAU